ACUUGACGCUGCAGGGCGGGCGGGGUAAAGAAGGGAGCGAGCCCUUCUCAAGCUUGGAAAGUUUCCAGACUGCUGGGCCAGCCUCCUCCCCAGAGGGAAACUGAGGUCCGAUUGAGGUUUCUCCAAGACCGCCCACUCCUGCUCCUGUCCCCAAACCCCUUUCUGCCUAGGGUUCCUGGAAGCCAAGGAAACAGAACGAACUGUUCCCUGGGUGGGCGAGCCACUGCAGAGUACAAAGCUUUCAGGCCGCCUGCCUCAUUAGCACUAAUGGCUGCUCCCUUCCGCCCUGUGUCGUCAGGACUGUCUAUGCCUGGUCUCAUCAGCACAAGGCUGGGGUAAGGACUGCCCUUUUGUGGAGAUGGCAGGACAUACAGGACCCUGCUGCCCCUGCCUUCCCUCACCCCACUGCAGAGCUGUUUAUCACACACGUGUCCAUCUGGGAAAGGAAUGCAGGCUGAAUCAGCUUUGAGAGGAUCGCAAGGCCCCAGUGCACAAACUGGGUUGGCACAAGGCAGUGGAAAAAAGAUGAAGGGGGCCAGGUAUGGUGGCUCACACCUGUAAUUCCAGCAUUUUGAGAGGCCAAGGUGGGAGGAUCACAAGGCCAGGGGUUUAAGACCAGCCUGGGUAUCAUGGUGAGACCCCGUUGCUACAAAAAAUAAAAAAAUAGCUGGGUGUAGUGGUGCAUGCCUGUAGUAGAGGCUGAGGUGGGAGGAUGGCUUGAGCACAGGGAUUCAAGAGUGCAGUGAGCUAUGACUGCAUCACCACACUCCAGGCUGAGCGACAGAGCAAGAUCCUGUCUCAAAAAGAAAAGAAGAUAAAGGGUGGCCAGGCACGGUGGCUCACGCCUGUAAUCCCAGCAUUUUGGGAGGCCAAGGUGGGCGGAUCACUGGAGGUCAGGAGUUCAAACCAGCUUGGCCAAUAUGGUGAAACCCUAUCUCUACUAAAAAUACAAAAGUUAUUCAGGCAUGGUGGCACAUGCCUGUAAUCCCACCUACCCGGGAGGCUGAGGCAGGAGAAUCACUUGUAACACGGGAGGCAGAGACUGCAGUGAGCAGAGAUCGCACCACUGCACUCCAACCUGGGUGACAGAGUGAGACUCCAUCUUAAAAAAAAAAUGCUAUUUAAAAUGAAAUGAAGCAAUCCAUACUCCCAACAUUUAUAUAUACUGGGACAUCCAAGAAAUUAAAAUCACACCUCAUUAUGUCUUUUUCUUUGAGUCAGGGUCUCACUCUGUCACCCAGGCUGGGCCUGGUCAGCACCCAUGCUAUGGAGAGCUCUUCAUGGUCUGGUGUGGACAGAGUGGGAGUGGAAGAUCUCCUCCCACACAGGUGCUCAGUGUCUUACCUCACCUACGGGCAGCAGCUGUCUUCACCUGAGUGUGUGCACACAGGUGUAUCAGCCCCAUGGGCAGUGAUGGACGAGGGCUGAGGCACUCACAGGGCAGCCCAUGCCCCGGUCAGGUCCAGUGGGGGAGAUAUCAAGAAAACCCAGCGCCAAAAUGCAAUGAGCUGUGAUCGCGCUACUGCACUCCAGCCUGGGCGACAAAGCAAGUUGCCGUCUCAAAAAACAAAAACAAAACUAAACAAAAAAAAAAAAACGGCCAGGUGUAGUGAUUCACACCUUCUUGAGCCCAGGAGUGGCAACAUAGUGAGACUCUGUCUCUACCAAAAAAAAAAAAUUUAAUUAGCUGAAUGUGGUGAUGCACACCUGUAGUCCCAGCUACUCAGGAGACAGGGAGGAGGAUAGCUUCGGCCCAGGAGAUUGAGGCUGCAGUGAGCCAUGGUGGUGGUGGCUCACGCCUAUAAUCCCAGCACUUUGGGAGGCUGAGGCAGGCAGAUCACUUGAGCCUAGGAAUUCGAGGCCAGCCUGGGCAACAUGGCGAAACCCAGUCCCCAUUAAAAAAAAAAAAAAAAAAGGCCAGGUGCGGUGGCUCACGCCUGUAAUCCCAGCACUUUGGGAGGCCGAGGUGGGCAGAUCACAAGGUCAGGAGAUGGAGACUAUCCUGCCUAGCACAGCAAAACCCCAUCUCUACUAAAAAUACAAAAAAAAAAAAAAUUUAGCCGGGCGUCAUAGCGGGCACCUGUAAUCACAGCUACUUGGGAGGCUGAGGCAGGAGAAUGGUGUGAACCCAGGAGGCAGAGCUUGCGGUGAGCCGAGAUCGCGCCACUGCACUCCAGCCUGGGUGACUGAGCGAGACUCUCUCAAAAAAAAAAAAAAAAGUUUCACAGCCGGAUGCAGUGGCUCACGCCUGUAAUCCCAGCAUUUUGGGAGGCCAAGGUGGGCAGAUCAUGAGGUCAGGAGUUCAAGACCAGCCUGGCCAACAUGGUGAAGCCCCAUCUCUACUAAAAAUACAAAAAUUAGCUGGGCAUGGUGGCACGCACCUAUGAUCCUAGAUACUUGGGAGGCUGAGGCAGGAGAUUUACUUGAACUGGGACCCAGGAGGCGGAGGUUGCAGUUAGCUGAGAUCGUGCCACUGCACUCCAGCCUGGUAACACUCCAGCCUGGUAACAGAGUGAGACUCCAUCUCAAAAAAAAAAAAGUUUCACUAUGUGGGUAAUUUUACGGUAAGGAACCAGCCUGAUAUUCCCAGGACAAUGCUUGUUGGCAAAAGGACCUUCAGAAAUAUGUGGCAUGUUCUGGGAGGAGGAUUUGGGAAACCCUGGGGGAGGCAGAGCCUCCUAAGUGAGGGUGUGGGCCCGGAACACAGGGACUCUGUGCAGGGAGGAGAAAGGGGAGAGUGUGCAUGCUCGUUCCAGAGACCACAUGAGGACAGAGAGGGGUGCUCAAACCCUCUCCCUUCUCUUCUUUUUCCUCCUGCAGUGUACUCCCCUUCAAGGGCCCUGUUCCCACCUUGUCCAGGGGAGAGGGUGGGGGGUGCAGGGAAAAACUGCAAGCACCCGUGGCUCUGUCAAUCAGGGUUGAUUUUGAAACCCCUACCCAGCCCAUUGCCCCUGCCCCAGAGAGCACAGCCAUGUGUUUCCUGUGAAUCAUCUGUAGGAUUUCCUAAGGCAGAGGUUGCCUGGAGAGGCACGGUCUCCUCAGUCAUUCAGGGAGAGGAGAAGAUGGAUGGGGGUUCUCUCGGGCUGGUGUAUUGAGCCCUGAGCUAGAGAGGAUCUGUGAUUGUUAAUUUUGUGUGUCAACUUGACUGGGCCAGGAAUGCCCAGAUAUCUGGUUAAAUAUUAUUUCUAGGUGUGCCUGUGAGGGUGUUUCCAGAAUCAUCCAAUCCUUUGAGGGUUGGAAUAAAACAAAAAGAUAGAGAAAGUUGGUGCCGUGGCUCAUGCCUGUAAUCCCACCACUUUGGGAAGCCGAGGUGGGAGACUGUCUUGAGCCCAGGAGUUUGAGACCAGCCUGGGUAACAUACAGAGACCCAAUCUCUACAAAAAAAUUUAAAAAUAGCCAGACACAGUGGUGCACAUCAGUGGUCCCAGUGACUCCAGAGGCUGAGGUGGGGAGGAUCGCUUGAUCCCAGGAGGUUAAAGCUGUAGUGAGCCAUGAUCACACUACUGCAUUCCAGCUUAUGCACAUGAGACCUUGUCUUAAAAAAAUAAAAAAUUUUAAAAAAGAAAGAAAACUGGAAACAAUCCAAAUAUCCAUCAACAGCAAAAUGGAUAAUAACAUUAUAGUGAUAUAAUUGGGCCAGGCACAGUGGCUCACACCUGUAAUCCUGGCACUUUGGAAGGCCGAGACGAGUGGAUCACUUGAGCUCAGGAGUUCCAGACCAGCCUGAGCAACAUGACAAAACCCUGUCUCUUCAAAAAUUACAAAAAUUAGCUAGACAUGGUGGCGCAAGCCUGUAGUCCCAGCUUCUCGAGAGGCUGAGGUGGGAGGAUCACUUGAAUCCAGGAGGCAGAGGUUGCAGUGAACCAAGAUUGCACCACUGCACUCCAGCAUGGGUGACAGAGUGAGACCCUAUCUCAAACAAACAAACAAAAGUAUGUUUAUAUAAUUGACAACUAUACAGCAAUGACAAGAGAAUAAACUACUGCUACACACUGCAACAUGAAUGAAUUGCACAGACAUAAGGUUGAAUGAAAGAAGCAUGCUGCAGAAGAGUGAGGAUGGAAUGAAUCCAGCCCUAUGACAUUCAGACCCAAGCAAAAUUAUAAUAAAUGGUGAUAAAACACAACAGCGGUUAACUCUGGGAGGGUGGGAAAUUAUUGACUGAGGGGGGAAAUGAGGAAAACAUGUGAGGUGUUGGAAAGGUUUUGUAUCUUGAUCUCAGUGGUGGUCACGCAGGUAUAUAAGUAUGUAAAAUUUCAUCAAGCUGCACAUUUAAGACUUGUGUAUUUUGCCAAGUGCAGUGGCUCACACCUGUAAUCCCAGCACUUUGGGAGGCCAAAGUGGGCAGAUCACCUGAGAUCAGGAGUUCGAGACCAGCCUGGCCAAUAUGGCAAAACCUCGUCUCCACUAAAAAUAAAAAAUUAGCCAGAUGUGGUGGUGUGUGCCUGUAGUCCCAGCUACUCAGGAGGUUCAGGCAGGAGAAUCACUUGAACCCAGGAGGCGGAGGUUGCAGUCAGCCAAGAUUGUGCCACUGCACUCCAGCCUGGGUGACAGAGUAAGACUCCAUCUCAAAAUAUAUAUAUAUAUUGUAUUUUUUAUUGGAUAUUAUGUCUCAAUGAAAACAUUUUUUCUUUUCCUUUAUUAGUGGCUCAAAAAAUAAUGGAGUGUCUGGCUGGACGCUGUGGCUCCCGCCUGUAAUCCCAGCACUUUGGGAGGCCGAGGCGGGUGGAUCACAAGGUCAGGUCAGGAGUUCGAGACCAGCCUGACCAACAUGGUGAAACUCCAUCUCUACUAAAAAUACAAAAAUUAGCCAGGCACGGUGGCACGUGCCUGUAAUUCCAGCUACUCAGGAGGCUGAGGCAGGAGAAUUGCUUGAACCCUGGAGGCGGAGGGUUGCGGUGAGCCGAGAUUGCAUCACUGCACUCCAGCCUGGGUGACAGAGCGAGACUCCGUCUCAAAAAAAAAAAAGAAAAAGAAAGAAAGAAACUUCCCUCAUCUCUGUAGCUAUUUGUGUAACUUCCCCUAUCUGUGUAACUACUGUUAACUGUGCAGCUGUGGGCAUGUCUUUAGGAAAGCAUAUGUAGCUUCUCUUGUCUCUGUAGUUGCAGGUAUGUUUUAGCAUCCUAUAGGAGAAAGUCACCUUUGUCUCCAAAUUCCCUGGUCCUGGUUUUGAAAAUCCUGCUGGCACCUACUGCUGAAGGCUGUGGCUGGAGAAUUCAGUGAGCUACUCUGAUCUGGACAGGGUCUGAUGGUCCUCACUUGACCUAAGCUGAGCUCUCCCAGGCUGUGAGCAUCCCCAAGGUCAGCCUGUGACUCUCACAGAAGUUCUGACCUCCAGAGCCUUCCCCCUGCUGUGGCCUUUGGGGUAGAGUAGGUUACAUGGGCCAGCACCAUCUGCCAAAGUCAGGGCCAGAAACCUAUCCAUGGGAGCCAGAUUUGGCUUUUGGCUUGGGCUAGUAUUGACUUUGGGCACAUUCUCAUCCCAGAAAGAAUAAUUUGGGGUAUGGGAUUUCAUGUUUUCUUUAGUACAGCCUUGAAAGCCACGUGUACAGGGUGUUUUCUUGCUAAGAUAGCAGUCGGGCUAUAUUUGAGCAGUCCAGAGAAGUUUAAACUACAGAGGCAUCUGGAUAUUGUCACAGUCUUGUCUGAGGUCAAUAGCUUGCAAGCGGUAGAGCUGAGAGUCAUACUGGGGAGUCUGACCCUGUAAUGACCCCCUGGUCACUAUGCUCAGAAAUAAUGACACCUGGAGUUGUAUUUUUCAGCACAGAUUGACUUUGAAUAAUAAAUACGUAAGAAUAUUUCUUCAAUUACACACACACACACACACACACACACACACACACACACACACACACAUACAUACACAAUUAUGCCAUUUCUCAUCUUCCCUGAAGCACAUGGCCCUUUGGCCUCUCUUUUAUUUUCAUACUUUUUUUUUUUUUUGAGAUGAAGUCUGGCUCUGUCGCCCAGGUGGAGUGCAGUGGCACAGUCUCAGCUCACUGCAACCCCUCCUGGGUUCAAGCAGUUCUCCUGCCUCAGCCUCCCAGGUAGCUGGGAUUACAGGCGUGUGUCACCACACCCAGCUAAUUUUUGUAUUUUUAGUGUAGACGGGGUUUCACCACGUUGGCCAGGCUGGUCUUGAACUUCAGGUGACUUCAGGUGAUCCACCUGCCUCGGCCUCUCAAAGUGGUAGGAUUACAGCCAUGAGCUACCAUGCCCGGCCUGUCAUACUUUUUUUCGGAAACAAAAGAUUAGUUCUGUAUUUCAACAUUAACAAUGACCACACUCUGACUCAAUAUUGGGGAAGUUUUGAAACCAACCCAAUAGUCCCAUAGACAGCUUUUUUGGAUAAACAUAGAAAUCAACCCUUCUGAUCCUAAAGCUUGAAACUUACAUUUGUUUUAUCUGAGUUCCCCUCUCAGGAAAGGAUCCCCAGUCCUCUCAAAAAGUAUCAAAGAACUGAAACCCACCAGAUCAUCCCAUCCAGACAAUGAGACUCAAGGGCCCUCAUUCAUCAUGAUUUGCUUCCUUACCCCUUGCAUUUGUUUUCCCACACACAAUUACAUUUCUUCCCUGCUAUAUAAACUCCUAAUUUUAGUCCAUCAGGGAGAUGGAUUUGAGACCGAUCUCCCGUCUUCUCACCUGCAUCACCCGAUUAAAGCCUUCUUCCUUGGCAAUAAUUGUCUCAGUGAUUGGCUUUCUGUGUGGUGAGCAGCAUGACCUAGACCAAACCUGUGGUAUUUUAAUAACAGUUUGAAGAGUGUGAGUUUGGCCUGAAGGGAGAAGCCAUUGAUGGCAGGCAGAGAUGUAGGCCCAGGUUUGCCAGAGCUUCAGACUUUUUUUUUUUUUUAAGAUGGAAUCUCGCUCUGUUGCCCAGGCUGGAGCACAAUGGCGUGAUCUUGGCUCACUGCAACCUCCACCUCCUGGGUUCAGGCAAUUCUCCUGCCUCAGUCUCCCGAGUAGCUGGGAUUACAGGCAUGUGCCACCACACCCAGCUAAGAGCUUCAGGUUUUUAAAGAAAAGAGAGAAAACAGAAGUUUUUUUUUUUUUUUUUGAGACGGAGUCUCACUCUGUCGCCCAGGCUGGAGUGCAGUGGUGCGAUCUCGGCUCACUGCAAGCUCUGUCUCCCAGGUUCACGCCAUUCUCCUGCCUCAGCCUCCCGAGUAGCUGUUCUACAGGCGCCCACCACCACACCCGGCUAAUUUUUUGAAUUUUUAGUAGAGACAGGGUUUCACCGUGUUAGCCAGGAUGGUCUCAAUCUCCUGACCUCAUGAUCUGCCUGCCUUGACCUCCCAAAGUGCUGGGGUUACAGGCGUGAGCCAAGAAAACAGAACUUUUAAAUGAUGUUUACAUGUCUAGCUUCAAAAAAUGCCAUGCAGGUUGUCGGUUUCCCACUUCCAGGGUAACUGGAUGGAAUUUCUGCCUUCAUGGUGGUUCAAGCCUGAAGUGCCUUGAGACCAGAAGUAAAGAGUUCCUUCCUCCUGCAGCACUGCUAGGUUUCCUGGAGGAGACGGUCUGUAGGUGGGGUUCCUAAAGGUGGAGAGAAGAGGAAGUUACUUCCUAAAGAGAAGGAAGAUAGGGGGUAACUUCAGUGUGGCUUUUGCAGAGUUGUUCAUGACAGGAAUCCUAUCAGGCCCUGAAGUUUCCAUCAGCACAGCCCCCAACCCUCACUGUCCCACACCCUUAGCUUCCUGGUUCUAGUCUCAAGGGAUUCUGCUCACUUCUGUCCUCGCUUUUUUUCUCCCUGGGAACCAAGUAACAGCUGAAGAAGUCCCAGGAGUCCUCCCAUGUCCUCUCAGCAACCCAGGCUGGAGCCUACUCCUUGGUGUUGGCAAAGGAAACCGUCUUUGAAGAGCCCCAGUGAGUCCCUGCUCUGCAAUGCUCAUACCCAUUGUGCUGUUACUGCAAGUCAAUGAGAACGUUGGUGGACUUCUCUCCACUUCACAGAAGAAUGAAUGGAGGCCCAGAACAAUGGCAUGAACCUGUCGUUUCUUGGCCUUUUGGCUAAGAUCAAGUGCAAUGGCAUGAACCUGACCAUAGUCGUAGACAAACAAGAGGCAGAGACAUUGUCUUAGUUUGAGUUCCCACUUCAGAAAACCUUGAGACAAACAUUGUAGCACAGGAAGUUUAUUAAGAGGAUACAAGCCAGGCAUGGUGGCUCACGCCUGUAAUCCCAACACUUUGGGAGGCCAGGGUGGACAGAUUGCCUGAGCCCAGGAGUUCAAAACCAGCCUGGGCAACAUGGGGAAAUCCUGUCUAUAAAAAAUACAAAACUUAGGCUGGGCGCAGUGGCUCACGCCCGUAAUCCCAGCACUCUGGGAGGCUGACAUGGCUGGAUCACUUGAGGUCAGGAGUUUGAGAUCAGCCUGGCCAACACGGUGAAUGAAACCCCAUUUCUACUAAAAAUACAAAAAUUAUCCAGGUGUUGUGGUGUGCACCUGUAAUCCUAGCUACUUGGGAGGCUGAGGCAGGAGGCUCACUUGAACCUGGGAGGCAGAGGUUGCAGUGAGCUGAGAUCGUGCCACUGCCACUCCAGCCUGGGUGACAGCGAGACUCUGUCUCAAAAAAAAAAUAGCCUGGCAUUGUGGCAUAUACCUGCAGUCCCAGCUAUUAGGGAGGCUUAGGUGGGAGGAUUGCUUAAGCCUAGGAGGUCAAGACUGCAGUAAGCCAGCCGGGGGCGGUGGGUCAAGCCUAUAAUCCCAGCACUUUGGGAGGCCGAGGCAGGCGGAUCAUGAGGUCAGGAGAUCAAGACCAUCCUGGCUAACAUGGUGAAACCCUGUCUCUGCUAAAAAUACAAAAAAAUUAGCCGGGUGUGGUGGCGGGCGCCUGUAGUCCCAGCUACUCAGGAGGCUGAGGCAGGAGAAUGGCUUGAACCCGGGAGGCAGAGCUUACAGUGAGCUGAGAUUGCACCACUGCACUCCAGCCUGGGCGACAGAGCAAGACUCCAUCUCAAAAAAAAAAGACUGCAGUAAGCCGUGAGCAUGCCACUACACUCAGUCUGGGCGACAGAGCAAGACCCUGUCUCAAAAAUAAAUAAGGAAAUAAAAGAGGAUACAAAGAACAAGCGUACAAAAAUACAGGGAGGGAAGACAGCCACUAUAAAGUGGGUCAUAAGCAGGGUUCCACCAGGGAUGCCUGGUCCCCCCGGGGUGUGGGUGGGGAACUCUGGGCUGCAGUGCAGAAUGCAUGUCUCAGAGAAGUUCCACCCAAGGCAGGAGGAAGGUGAGUAGAUAUACAGCAACCCUGUCUCAGUCCCUUGGAGGGUUGUUGGGGGAGAGUUAACUCCUAGCACUUCUGACCAACUUGUAGAGUGAGCUCAGAAAGCCCCAGACACAUCAGAGGCAGAUACCAGCAGUGGACACCAAGAGUCUGUUCCACGUGUGUCUAAGCAUACUUAUCCCCCAAAAUGUGGCGCCCACACCAACAGCAUCAGCCUAAGGUAGGAACCUGGGAGGAUGUUAAGUCUGGCUCUGCCCCAACAUAAUGAAUCACAAACUCCUGGGGUAGGGCUCAGCUGCUAGAGUUUGUUUGUUUAUUUGUUUGUUUGUUUGUUUGUUUUGAAAUGGAGUCUCACUGUGUCGCCCAGGCUGGAGUGCAGUGGCUCCAUCUCGGCUCACUGCAACCUCCGCUUCCCAGGUUCCAGCGAUUCUCCUGCCUCAGCCUCCCGAGUAGCUGGGACUACAGGCACGAGCCACCAUGCCCGGCUAAUUUUUGUGUUUUUUAGUAGAGACAAGCUUUCACUAUAUUAGCCAGGCUGGUCUCGAACCCCUGACCUCGUGAUCCGCCCACCUCGGCCUCCCCAAGUGCAGGGAUUACAGAUGUGAGCCACCGCGCCCGGCCAACUGCUAGAGUUUUAACAGACCUUUCAGGUGGCUCUGAUGUGACUGAGCUUUGAGAAUCUCUGCCCUAACCCACCAUUUCUAACUCCAAAGCCCAAGGUCUUUCUGGUACUAGAUGAUGGCUGAGGCCUGCAGCCAAUUAGUGGGAAGGGCUGCUGGGGAUGUUAGAGGCAGAGGAAUAAGCGGCCUGACACUCAGCUCCGGGGACACCAAAUAGGUGCUGGCCCUUGUAACCCAGUGAGGAGGCAGCGCUCAUUCCUUUAUCUUAAAAUAUGUCCUGAGCACUUACUGCAUGCCAGAGCCUGGUGCAAAUGCUUAGGGCUUACUAGGAACCUGGGGGUGGAGGGAGCAGGGUUGAUGUGAAGGCUGGGUAUUGAACACAAAGAAUUUGGGUCUUUUGGGGCUCCUGUGGUCUGGUCCACUCCUUGGAGAUACCCACCAGGAGAUGACUCAGCCUUCCUAGUCCAGGAAGGCCCCCGCCUCUUUUUCUGUGAGCCCAGCCAUCACCUUAUUGCCUUCAGCAUGUCCUGAAUGGAUUUUGUCACUGUUACUGGGGCCUGCAAAGCACACAGCCCUCGUGGUCCAGCUAAGACCACCUGGCCACAGGCCGGCCCACAGCCGUACUUGCAGGGUGAACCAAAGUCAAGGAAGGGUCCAGAGAAGCUGGGUCUGAAUGCCACCCACCACUUCCCCAUGUCAGGAGAUGACACUUAUGUGGACACCCCAGGGAUUCCUAUGAUUCCUCCAACCCAUCACCUUUUCUAGAGCACCCCUCACUCCUCUCUCCAGAGUCUCCCACCUUUCCAGCACUGGCUUCCCAAGUUCCACUCUCUGCAGCCUCCAUCUGUGGCCUGGACCCCAGGAUCCAACCCCCUAAACUCCUUCUAGGCAACCAUCUUGGGCAACUUCACCCAAUGACAACCUAUGCUCCUCCUGUUAUUGACAG
rnacentral:lncRNA from 1 species